UGGUGGAGUGAUUUGUCUGGUUAAUUCCGUUAACGAACGAGACCUCGACCUGCUAAAUAGUUCGACGAAUCCUUCUGGAUUCGGUUGCGACUUCUUAGAGGGACUAUCGGUGUGUAGCCGAUGGAAGUUCGAGGCAAUAACA
rnacentral:rRNA from 1 species